AUGGACAAGUGCUCCAUCGCUUACACGGAGAAGCAGCUCAUAAUCGACAUCGAGCGCGGCGUCGGCGCGAACCCCAAGAUCAGAUUGCUGUCACUCGCCGUCUCGAACGGCUUCACCGUGACGAAGACACAGGAGAACAAGCCCACACGCAGCACAGGCGAAGAAGCCUCGCCGUCGCCGGAGCUCCAACAUGAGUACUCCAUCGCCAUACCGCCGCACUCGGCCCUGCUGUUCCCAUGCCAGCGCGCGACCACCAUCGACGCAGCUUCAGACUGCCAGGUACUAGUGAGGCAUCUGAUCGUGCUGGACGGCACCUGGGCGAAGGCGCACCGGAUGUACCAUGAGAACCCAUGGCUGCAGCUCGUGCCGCACGUGAAGGUGGAAGCAGAUAGGGUCAGCCUAUACGGCGAGGUGAGGCAUGAGCCGACGGCCGGGUGCCUGUCGACCAUCGAGAGCAUCGUCGUCGCCAUGAAGCAGCUCGGGGAGGACGAGACGGAGUUGGAUCGUGUCCUCGCCGUCUUCGAGUCCAUGAUCGCCGACCAGCGGCGCUGCAAGGAUGAGAACUGGAAACCAAAGCUCGAGUCAUAG
rnacentral:rRNA from 1 species